GAAGAAGUCGCGGGAGGGUAGGGGACCGCGGAACUUCUGGUUGCUAUGACGACGGCAAAGCCCUGGAUUCCUGUCUCCUGCGCAGAGCAGAGGCUGCAAACGCAUCCGCAGACGCCUUUAUACGUACUCCAAAAUGCUAGUAAGGAUGAAGAUGAACUCUCCUCAGCCCGUGUCUUUUAACUGUAGAAACUUUUCUGAGAAAUGAAAAGAGGCUUGCUCAUGACUUGGAAGCGGUGGGCUGAGGCCUCCCAAGACCAUCUGGCUUGUUCCAUUGCCAGCCAGAGUGGAGGCGACAUUCACACGAACCCAGGAGCUGCAGGGGCGCGUGAGCUACAGCUGCCUUGUGGCAUCCAAGGAGUGCGCAGUGAGAUUCCG
rnacentral:lncRNA from 1 species